GCGCCUCUUCAGGGUUCGCCAGCAGCGUGGCAGGUACUGUAUGAUGGGGCUCCUUUUCUUCCGGUGAUUUCGGUUUGUGUCUAUCCGGCGCCAUCGCGCUUUCCAUGAGGCCGAGCGUGAAAAUCUGGAACAGGGAGAGGCAGAAUCAGAACGCUCUACGGGAGAGUGAUAGAGGAGCUGUUGGCGUGGUUGGCGACAUGUCUGUGAUUCCAGAGGAGCCGGAGGAUGCACCGAUUGUUAAUCCAGCGAGCCUUGCCGCGGUGGGAGAAAUGAGGGAAAUCGGGUAAGGUUGCCUUUGACUUCACGAUGUAGCCCUGGCUUGCCUCGAACUCGUGGCGAUCCUUACAGCCUCAGCCUCCCAAGUGCUGGGAUUAUAGUUGUGCGCCACCACGCCGGGCAAAAAACUAUUUCUAUAUGUACCAUCAAGUAUGAAUUACACUUUUGAAGAUGCUGGGAAAAGAUGUGGAACUUGGAAGAUAAUUCUUUAAAAUAUGCAGGAAAGGGUUCUCUAUGUUGGAGUUUGUGUGUCUAUGUGUUUGAUGUUGAGACAGGGUCUUGCUAUGAGAUCAAGGCUGGCCCUAAUCUCACUGUAACUCAUGCUGGCCUCAAACUCUCGGAGCUCUUCCUGCCUCAGUCUCCUAAAUGCUGGGAUUAUAGGAAUAAAAUGGAAGUUGUUUUUUUUUUUUGGUACCGGGGAUCGAACUUGGGACCUUCCGCUUCCGGUUUCAAGGCAGGCGCCAGAACCACUGAGCUAAAUCCCCGGCCCAAGAAGUUGUUUUUUUCAAAGAACAUUUGUCAGAUUUAUUUGAUCAAGAAUUUGAAGAUUAUUAAGUUACCACCUAAAAUGUUUGAAUCAGAAGACAGUACUGAUGAAGAACUGUUAAUUAAUGAAUCAGGAAGUCAUAGUGAACCUGAAGAUGAUUUUUCAGAAUUAUCAGAGGAGUUUCAUUCAGAGACUGAAGCUUCACACCAUUCAGAGAAUUUGUUGAGGUUAAUUUGGAAAAUCCAAUCCCUACUCUGCCUAAGUUUCUGUGCACCAGUACACCUAGUAUAAAUUUGUCAUUUAGACAUGAUACGGAGCCAGAUAGUUUAAAUUACUUCGAAUAUUUCUAGAAUUCUAAAAUAAUGUAGUUGACUACAAUAGAAACCAACAUGCAGAUCAAAGCCUUCUGGGAUUUUAGAGAAAUUUUUACACUUGGACUCAAAACGAACAGGUAAUACAGAUUUUUUUUUUUUUUUUUGCUCUCCAUAGUCUGUAAGGAAUUAUAUGUAAGCCAAUACGUGAGUGGUAUUGGUCUAAGAAAGAUUGCAUUGAAACACCUUUUUUUCAGUGAAGUGAUGUCGUAAAUGUUUUACUUUAUUGAAACAUAUUAUAUUCAUUUUGUAGAUAACUCAGUGCUACUCGAAUCUUUAAGUUAUGGCCAACUGUUGAACAUCUCAAUAAAAAGUUUUCUACUGCACUUACACUUGAGAGAGAUUAUCACAACUGGUGAAAGUUUAAUGCUACAUAAGGGUCAAUUUGAAUGGAUUCAGUUUAUCCCUCUAAAAAGAGCUACAUUUGGUACCAAAUCUUACAUGUUCUGUGAAUCCAAAUCUGGAUAUGUGGUCUUAAUUUACACUGGAAAGUGCACAGUACUUGAUAACAUCUAUAAAGAUUGUUACAUGGGUACACAAAUUGUUUUGACUCUUGAUGAAACCACUUUUCAACAUGGGACAUUGUCUUAUUACAGACAAUUUUUAUACUUCUCCAGGACUCUGAUACUAUUUUACAAUACAAGAUGGACACGUUUGGGACACUGAGUCUGAAUAGGAAAGAAGUGCCGAGAGAUUGUUCCAAUUUUAGUAUAUGUGCUGCUGAAACAAGCACUAGUGCCAAAAGACCUGCAAAAGAAAAAACUGAAAAAGGGAGAAAUGUUAGCCCAUCAGAGAGGAAAACUUAUGCAAUGAAAAGACAUUUCCUUGUCAGCUAUUCAUAAUACAGAAAUGAUAGAUCUUUAAAGAAACAAAACUUUAAGGAUUCUAAUAAUGGUCAAUGGUUAUAAUUUGAUUACAACCUUUUUUUUUUUUUGUCUUUUCGGUACUGGAGAUCGAACUCUGGUCCUUGCUCUUGCGGGACAGGUGGCAGAAUCACUGAACUAAAUCCCCGGCAGUGAUUAUAAUAAUUCUAUGAAUGGUAUUGACAGAGGUGACCAACAUUUAACAAGUUAUCCUGUCAUUUACAAUUGAGAUUAGGUCUGGUAGACCAAAUAAUUGAAAAAUACAGAAGCAUUGGGAGGCUAUUGCUGCAUUAGAAGAAAGUGCUAAUUACAAAGAAACUGAAAAUGAACAUUAUGCUUCAAGUAAAAGUUGGUUUCAUCCUUUCAAAAGGCACCAUGAAUUGGUUGAUGUGAAGCUGUUUGAAACAGCAAGCUUAGAUGAAGAUGAUACUGUGAAAUUGGCAUCCAUAUUGUAAGAUAACAGUGUCCUUGGAUUGCACAGCAGGGUAAGACCCAACUGCAAAAAACAAGCAGGGUUCAGAUCAGUGGUACCAAAAUAGAGUUGACUUGGGGUUUUAGGACUGCUGCUACAUAAGAGGCAAUUGUACAGCCAGAGCUUAGUGAAGGCAAACCUACUGGCAUGAGAAGGCUUUCCAACAUAAAAGAUGACUGCCUCAGAGGAAGAGAUGCUAGCAAAAGCCUUCACAUUAAAAGAACUCAGUUAAUUUCAAGACAGUAAAAGUGCAAAGGAUAAAAUUUUGGUAGCUGAUCCAAAUUUAGGAGUAGGACAAUCGCCACAGUAUAGAAAUGACACUCCCUAUUUUAAGUAAUACAACAGGAAGGUAGGUCCAGUUCAAGCCACUUGAAUGAUGAACGAGUAUGGAUAAAAUUUUCAGUGUUUCUAAUAUUUUAAAUUACAGCAUACUAAAAAUACUAGCCUUGUGUUAUUACAAAGCUAGAUUUCUUUUUAACAACAGCAAGAGUUACAUUUUUGACUGGAAUCUCCCCCCCAGCCCCAAUUGGGACUCAAAUUGGGAACUCUACCACUAAGUUACAUCCCCAACCCUUUAUUUUUUAUGUUUAGAGAAGGUCUCGCUAAUUUGCCUAGGCUGUCCCUGAACUUGUGAUCCUCCUUAGUAACGAAUUAAAAGGUAUGCAGCACCACUGUGGCUAGUUUUGACAAACUUUAAGGUCCAUGAAUCCCACAUUUCCUCAUAGGUUAAGAUUGUAAUGUAGCUUCAGCUUCCAUGGUCAAAGCCAGUACAAGCUAGAGAACCUUAUUAUUCAAACAGGUCAGAUCGACAAAUGUGUUUGGUAAUCGUUACUUUUCAUAUUCUUGUAUGCUGCUAUAUCAAAGCUUUGAAAUAAAAAUUUAAUACUGAAUUUCUCAUAUUUGGACUUAAAUUGUAGGCCAAAAAUUAUUGAGAUUGACAGAUUUUUCCUGUAAAGGGCCCUUUGAAGGCCAUAUGAUCUCUGGUGCAGCUAAUCAGUUUGGCUUUCAUAGCCAAAGCAGACAGUAAAUAACCACUGAAUGUGAAUGUGUUCCAAUAAAAUUUUAUUUAGGGACACAAA